CACGUAGUUAGCCGGUGCUUCUUCUACACCUACCGUCACCCGAAGGCUUCGUCGAUGUCGAAAGAGGUUUACAACCCGAAGGCCGUCAUCCCCCACGCGGCGUUGCUGCGUCAGGCUUUCGCCCAUUGCGCAAGAUUCCCCACUGCUGCCUCCCGUAGGAGUCUGGGCCGUGUCUCAGUCCCAGUGUGGCCGGUCACCCUCUCAGGCCGGCUACCCGUCGUCGCCUUGGUAGGCCAUCACCCCACCAACAAGCUGAUAGGCCGCGGGCUCAACCUGCACCGCCGGAACUUUCCACACGCAGACCAUGCGGCCACGUGUCCUAUCCGGUAUUAGACCCCGUUUCCAAGGCUUAUCCCAGAGUGCAGGGCAGAUUACCCACGUGUUACUCACCCGUUCGCCACUCAUCCACCCCGAAGGGCUUCAGCGUUCGACUUGCAUGUGUUAAGCACGCCGCCAGCGUUCGUCCUGAGCCAGGAUCAAACUCU
rnacentral:rRNA from 1 species